ensembl:lncRNA
CUGAAGGCACACUACAUCUAACCUCUGCCGGCGCACUAACUAUGUCUUCUGACAGCACUCCUGUCCUCCGCAGGUGCUCCCUGUUCUCCUCAGGUACUCCGAUCCUAGGCAGACCCUCCACCUCGAUCCUCUGAUGGCACACUACCUCUAACCUCUGCUGGCGCACUACCUCUAUCUUCUAACCACGCUCCCAUCAUCUGCAUGCCGUCUGCGUUCUCCGCAGAUGCUCUUGUCCUCUGUAGACGCUCCACCUCUAUCCUCUGAUGAUGCACUACAUCUAACCUCUGCUGGCGCACUAACUCUGUCUUCUGAUGGUGCUGCUGUCCUUGGCAAUCGCUUCCUGUUCUCCACAGGUGCUCCUAUCCUCCACAGAUGCUCCACCUAUAUCCUCUGAAGGCACACUACAUCUAACCUCUGCUGGCGCACUAACUCUGACUUCUGACAGCACUCCUGUCCUCCACAGCUGCUCCCUGUUCUCCGCAAAUGCUCCCGUCCUCCGCAGACGCUCCACCUCGAUCCUCCGACAGCGCACUACCUCUAUCUUCUGACAACACUCCCGUCAUCUGCAGGCACUCCUUGAUCUCUGUAGGUGUUCCCGUCCUCUGCCGAUGCUCCACCUAUAUCCUCUGAUGAUGCACUACAUCUAACCUCGGCCAGCGCACUAACUCUGUCUUCUGAUGGUGCUCCCAUCCUUGGCAAUCGCUUCCUCUUCUCUGCAGGUGCUCCUAUCCUCUGCAGAAGUUCUAGCUCUAUCCUCUGACAGCGCAGUACCUCUAACCUCUGCUGGUGCACUAACUAUGCAUUCCGACAGUGCUCCCAUCAUCUGCAGGUGUUCUGUGUCCUCUGCAGGUACCCCCAUCCUCCACAGGUGCUCUACCUCUAUCCUCUGAUGGCACACUACCUCUAACCUCUGCUGGCGCACUACCUCUAUCUUCUGACAACGCUGCCAUCAUCUGCCAGCGCUCUGUGUUCUCUGCAGGUGCUCCCGUCCUCCACAGAUGCUCCAUCUACAUCCUCUGAAGUCACACUACAUCUAACCUCUGCCAGCGCACUAACUAUGCCUUCUGAAAGCACUCCUGUCCUCCACGGGUGCUCCCUGUUGGUGGCAGGUGCUCCCAUCCACCGCAGACUCUCCACCUCGAUCCUCUGAUGUCACUCUGUCUCUAACCUCUGCUGGCGCACUACCUCUAUCUUCUAACCACGCUCCCAUCAUCUGCAAGCAGUCUCUGUUCCCCGCAGGUGCUCCUGUCCUCCCCAGACGCUCCACCUAGAUCCUCCGACAGCGCACUACAUCUAACCUCUGCUGGCGCACUAACUAUACCUUCUGACAGCACUCCCAUCCUCCGCACGUGCUCCCUGUUCUCCGCAAAUGCUCCCGUCCUCCCCAGACGCUCCACCUCGAUUCUCCGACAGCGCACUACCUCUAACCUCUGCCGGCGCGCUACCUCUGUCUUCUGACAACACUCCUGUCAUCUGCAGGCACUCCUUGAUCUCUGUAGGUUUUCCCGUCCUCUGCCGAUGCUCCACCUAUAUCCUCUGAUGAUGCACUACAUCUAACCUCUGCUGGUGCACUAACUACGCAUUCCGACAGUGCUCCCAUCAUCUCCAGGUGUUCUGUGUUCUCUGCAGGUACCCCCAUCCUCCACAGGUGCUCUACCUAUGUCCUCUGAAGGCACACUACCUCUAACCUCUGCCGGCGCACUAACUAUGUCUUCUGACAGCGCUCCCAUCCUCCGCAGGUGCUCCCUGUUGUCCUCAGGUGGUCCGAUACUCCGCAGACCCUCCACCUAUAUCCUCUGAUGGCACACUACCUCUAACCUCUGCUGGUGCACUAACUAUGCCUUCUGACAGCACUCCUGUCCUCCACAGGUGCUCCCUGUUGGCUGCAGGUGCUCCCAUCCACCCCAGACCCUCCACCUCGAUCCUCUGAUGGCACACUACCUCUAACCUCUGCUGGCGCACUACCUCUAUCUUCUUACAACGCUCCCAUCAUCUGCUGGCGCUCUGUGUUCUCUACACGUGCUCCCAUUCUCGGCAGAUGUUCCACCUAUAUCCUCUCAAGGCACACUACCUCUAACCUCUGCCGGUUCACUAGCUAUUCCUUCUGACAGCACUCCCGUUCUCCGCAGUCAGUCCCUGCUUGCCGCAGGUGCUCCCGUCCUCUGCAGACCCUCCACCUCAAUCCUCCAACAGCACACUACCUCUAACCUCUGCCUGCAAGCUACCUCUAUCUUCAGAUCAUGCUUCCAUCAUCUGCAGGCACUCCUUGAUCUCCACAGAUAUUCCCAUCCUCCCCAGACCUUGCACUUCGAUCCUGUGACAGCGCACUACCUGUAACCACUGCCAGUGUGCUACCUCUAUCUUCUGUUCGCGCUCCCGUCAUCUGCAGGCACUCUUUGUUCUUCACAGGUGCUCCCGUCCUCCGCAGACUCUUCACCUCUAUCCCGUGAUGGCACACUGCAUCUAAACUCUGCCAGCUCACUAACUCUGUCUUUCGACAGCGCUCCCGUCCUGCACAGGCUCUCCAUGUUCUCUGCAGGUGAUCUCUUCCUCCCUAGACCCUCCACCUCGAUCCUCUGAUGGGGCACUACAUCUAACCUCUGCCAGCGCACUACCUCUAUCUUCUGACAACACUCCCAUCAUCUGCAGGCCGUCUGUGUUCUCCGCAGAUGCUCCUGUCCUCCGCAGAUGCUCCACCUAUAUCUUCUGAUGGCACACUACAUCUAACCUCUGCCAGUGCACUAAAUCUGUCUUAUGACGGCACUCCUGUCCUCCGCAAUUACUUCCAGUUCCCUGCAGGUGCUCUUUUCCUCCGCAGACAUUCCACCUCUAUCCUCCAACAGCGCACUACAUCUAACCUCUGCCGGUGCACUAAUUCUGUUUUCUGCCGGUGUUCCCGUCCUCUGCAGUCACUCCCUGUUCUCCGCAGGUUCUCCUGUUCUCCGCAGACCCACUACUUUGAUCCUCCAACAGUGCACUACCUCUAACCUCUGCCGGCAAGCUACCUCUAUCUUCUGAUUGUGCUCCCAUCAUCUGCUGGCACUCCUUGUUCUCCGCAGGUCCUCUUUUUCUCCGCAUACGUUACACCUCUAUCGUCUGACAGUGCACUACCUCUAACCUUUGCCGGCGUGCUACCUCUUAUCCUCUGCUGGUGUGUUACCUCUAAUCUCUGCUGGUGCUACCUUUGUCUUCUGACUGAGCUCCCGUCCCCCGUAGGUGCUCCCUGUUUUCUUCAGGUGCUCCUGUCCUCCACAGACCAUCCACCUCUGUCCUCCAAUGGUGCACUACCUCUAACCUCUGCUGGCGCACUACCUCUAUAUUCUGACGGUGCUCCUGUCCUCUGCAAGCGCUCCCUGUUCCCCACAGGUGCUCCCUGUCCUCUGCAGGUACUCCACCUCUAUUCUCUGAUGGCACACUACAUCUAACCUCCACCGGCGUGCUACCUCUAUCUUCUGACGGUGCUCCCAUCCUCUGCUGGCGCUCCCUGUUCUCUGCAGGUGCUUUCAUUCUCCACAGACACUCCACCUCUAUCUUCCAAUGUCGCACUACAUCUAACCUCUGCUGGCGCACUACCUCUAUCUUCUGAUGGCUCUCCCAUCCCCCGCAGCUGUUGCACCUCUUUCCUCUGCUAGCACACUACCUCUAACCUUUGCCAGCGCACAACCACUAUCCUCUGACGACGUUCCUGUCCUCUGCAGGCACUCCCCAUCUCCUCAGGUGUUCCCGUCCUCCGCAAACCCUCCACCUUUAUCCUCCAAUGGUGCACUACCUCUAACCUCUACCGGCGCACUACCUCUGUCUUCUGACAGUGCUCCCAUCCUCCACAGAUGCUCCACCUCUAUCUUCUGACAGCGCACUACCUCUAACCUCCGCCGGCGCACUACCUGUAUUCUCCGACGGCACUGUGUCCUCCGCAAACCCUCCUUCUUCUCUGCAGGUACUCCCAUCAUCCGCAGGUGCUCCCUUGCUCUGCAGGCACUCGCCAUCCUCCGCAGGCGCUCCCUGUUCCUGUAUAUGAUGUGUUUGACUAUUAAUUGCAGUAUUCCAGUUUAGCUGGGAAAUAAGAAUCUACAGUACAAGUUAUUGAGGGAUUACAUUUUUAGGCAUAUAUUUGAGGCACUUGAGUAUCAGGGAGUUGACUGCUCAACGGACUGGAAAGAGUUAUGAGAAGUCAUGGCUGGCAGGUCAAGUCCCCCAUGUGCCAAAAAAAACGUACUCUCAUGCCCAUUUUUUAACAAGGGUUUAAAGGAUGUCUGUAACCAUCAAG